AGAAUCAACGCUGGCGGCGUGCCUCAGACAUGCAAGUCGAACGAUUAAAGCUCUCUUCGGAGAGUGUAUAGAGUGGCGCACGGGUGAGUAACACGUAAGUAAUCUACCUUCGAGUGGGGAAUAACCCGGGGGAAACCCGAGCUAAUACCGCAUAAUGCAGCGGCAUCGCAAGAUGACAGUUGUUAAAGGAAUUUAUUUCGCUUGAAGAGGAGCUUGCGGCAGAUUAGCUUGUUGGUAAGGUAACGGCUUACCAAGGCUACGAUCUGUAUCCGGUCUAAGAGGACGGUCGGACACACUGACACUGAAUAACGGGUCAGACUCCUACGGGAGGCAGCAGUCGGGAAUUUUGGGCAAUGGGCGAAAGCCUGACCCAGCAACGCCGCGUGAAGGAUGAAGUAUUUCGGUAUGUAAAACUUCGAAAAGAAUAGGAAAGAAAUAAAUAGACGUAACUAUUUAUAAGCUUCCGGCUUAACUACGUAGCCAGCAGCCGGC
rnacentral:rRNA from 1 species